GAAAAGAACUUUGAAGAGAGAGUUCAAGAGUACGUGAAACCGUUCAGGGGUAAACCUGAGAAACCCAAAAGAUCGAAUAGGGAGAUUCAUCGACGACGAAGCUGGCUCCCGUUGGCGUGCGAUUCCCCCGUUGGGACCUCGGUUCCAGAACGCGGGGUACACCCCUUCGGCGAAUAACCGGCGACGUAGUCGUGCACUUCUCCCUUGGUAGAACGUCGCGACCCGUUGUGUGUCGGUCUACGGCCUGGGCUAAUUGCCUGUCGCGGUGGCAUUCGUUCGCUCGCGGCAGAGGCUCGGUCGCCCGGCCGGCUGCACGACGGUACUCCGACGGUAUCGGGCCGCAACCAAUCCAUUCUCGAAUGGUAUAUGCGUCCAGGCCCGUCGCAAGCUCGGACAGCACCCGGAGCGUGUGGACGCAGCGCCCUCCCCGGGUCUGGCCAGCUGUUAGCAGACGGUGUCCUCGGACCGGCCAAGCUUCGAAUUACCGGUCAGCGACGCUAUUGCUUUGGGUACUCUCAGGACCCGUCUUGAAACACGGACCAAGGAGUCUAACAUGUGCGCGAGUCAUUGGGACAUUGAAACCUAAAGGCGAAAUGAAAGUGAAAGUCGUCGUAAGCGUCGACCAAGGGAGGAUGGGCCGCGUCACGUCGCGGCCUCGCACUCCCGGGGCGUCUCGUUCUCGUUGAGAAGAGGCGCACCCAGAGCGUACACGUU
rnacentral:rRNA from 1 species